rnacentral:lncRNA from 1 species
AAAAUCUGAUUUUUUUUAUCCUAAGUCAUUUACAUGCUGAAAAUAACCAAUAUCUAACUAAACAAUAUUUCUCUAAGCUUUUGGGGUAUUCAAGAAUAGUCUAAAUGGCCAUUUUCCCAAAAACAAACUACAAUAACAGAAAAUAGCUUACUAUGCCAUUAAUCCCUUUCAACUAGCAUACAUGGGACGUUCACUCACUAAGCUACUAUAAAAUGUUCAGUUAUACAUAAACAAACAUCUACAUGAUUCCAAUGGAAUAAAUAUUCUAAUGUAUACACAAAUAAAUAGACAACUAAAAUAAGUUCAAAACUUCAAAUCUUCAUUUCUUUGUAUUCAUGCUUCAAGUUUAAGCUUACAAGAACCAGUGUAUCAGUUAUGUACCUGGUAUUUGAAAAGCAAAAAGGAUAAUCAGCGGUCGCAUAGCAACAACAGUAGAGCAGUAGCAGCAAUAACCCCAGUAACAGAUUAACAACCCAGUAGCAAUUUCAGAAAACUCCAAACAGCAACACCAAAAUGCGCCAAAAACAGCACCAACCAGUAUAAUCAAACAAAUAACCAGUGCAGAUUUGAAAUCAGAGGAAAAACAAUGUAACAGUAGCAGAGUUUUAAUAACACUCAAUCUUAAGUUCUGGAAUUAUGUUAAAAUUCCGGCCCACACUUAAACUAUUUUUUGAACUCUGAAAUCUGGUAAAAAAUUUCAGCCUUAAUGUCACUCUUUAGCUCUAUUAUCUCUGAGAAUUCUUUCAACUUCCUGAUUUUUUGGACUUCUAAAACUCUCCAAUAUUCUGUGUUAAAAUUCUGUUUUCCAGAAUCUGUCUCCAAAAUUCUGUCCUUAAUUAAUCUGAAACCUUCUCUUAUAUAGCCAAACUAGACAGCCUGUUAACUUAUUAAAUAACUGACAGAUUCCAUAUUAUUAUUUUUAGUAAGAUUCCAUAUUAUUAUUCUGUUUUUCCACUUAAAAUUGUCCAAGUAUGGAACCCCCUAUUUUAAAUUUCCUGGAGUUCAAAACAUAGUGAGUGUCCUGCUGUACAGCAGGUUCCACUAUCCUUAAAGAUGCCAUCCAGGGUGUAUUUAUCCUAUGGCCUGCCCUAAUGGUUCAACACCUGCUCGAGGGUAGCAGUCCAACUAAGAUCUGAAAUUUCUAUUUAAACUGCAGCUAAAUUCAAUUCAGCUAUAACCAAUUCAGACCUUAAGUCAAAUUCACACAAAUGAUUCAAGCAAAAAACUGAGUUCAACCAACAGGUUCAUUUCAAUCAAAGAAAAAUCAGAACAAGCAAGGAGCAAAAAAUGGCAAACAUACUGGAGAACAACAAUGGCCUAGUAUCCUGCUUUUCCAGUUUUCAAUCUGAUUAAUCGACGAAACUCCUCAAAUCAAUUAUAUAGCCUAAAACAUAUAAAUAAACGAACAGAAGAAAAAUUUGACCGAAUAAAAGGUCUUGAAGAAGAAGAACAAGAAGAACUAAUGAACAAGACAAGAUUACAACCAACACUUUAAACCAAGAACAAUAACGGAAAAAAGAUCAAAGGACUGAAAUAAUCUUGAAAGAAAAAAUCUGAACAUGGAACGAACCCAGGUCGAACUCGGAUUUGAAUUAUUGGAGGUCGAACGGACUGUUGUGAAGAUGAAAAGGACGAAGCAGAAGCUGGUCGUUUGGGUGCUGUCCGGCGUCACAGUGAGGGGCGAAGCAGGUUGUCGUUAUGGACAGCUCGUUUUCAGGCAGUCAUGGCUAUGGGUUUAUUUUCUUCUUCAAGGAUGAAGAAGAAGAACGACAGUAAUGGCUAACGACUAUGGCUGAAGACGACGAAACACUGGACGAAAACGGCUAUGGCGGCAGCGACGAUGAAGCUGCCUGACGAGUGACUCGACAUGACGAUGAUGUUGGUGACGAGCUGGUCGUCCAUGGCUGUUGGUACGCAGCUGGUUCGUGGAGGUUCAGGUGAUGGUCGUUCAUGGCCGUCUCUUGUGAAGGAGAAGAAGCACGGCCAUGGCUGUUUGGACGAGCUGGCCGCGACGUUGGUGAGGAAGAACGACAGUCAUAGCUGUUUUGAACUGAGGGAGAAGGGAGACGAUGGUGAGGGGCUCGUCCAUGGCUUGGGGGUUUUCUUGUUGAAGAAGAAGGAGGGCAGCCAUGGCUAGGGUUUUUGUUGUGUCUUGAAGAAGAAGAAGAGGAUGAGCUCUUGUGUUGUCUUCAAAAAAUGAGAGAUUAACGGCUGAAGAGUUAAGGGUAGGUUUUGGGGUUAUUUGGGGC